rnacentral:tRNA from 1 species
GGGAAUAUAGCUCAGUUGGUAGAGUGCUUGCUUUGCAUGCAUAAGGCCCUGGGUUCAAUCCCCAAUAUCA